UCCACUAAAGUUGUGAUGCCACCUUGCAGUCACAUGAAGACAGAAUGGUAUUGUACUUCCAUUUCUGUGUGUGAAGCUGAAGGCUUGGUGACUAAAAUAAUUGUAGAAAUUGUACUGUCACUUUCAGGUUGUGGAAAUUAUUUCAUAAUCAAUACUUUUCACUCCAAUUACAUUUUCUGACUGGGCAAAGUUUACGAGACUGAUUUGCUUUGGUUGCUUUGCAAAGGGGAGGGAUGAAUUCACUCUUCAAUAUGGAAUAGUUUAAUUAUAUCUGAAUUAUGAGCUUUUGGGGGUGGAGGGGGAACUGCCUCCUGUUUGAAGUCACCAGUCAGGGAAGAGCUAUUUUUUUUUUUAAUCCAUUUCAGGGCACAGAAAACAACAAGAUAAUUUCAUUGCCUGGAACAAUUUGAAAAGGGAGAGAAUUAGCACUAAAUCUGUGCUGAUGUUGUUAAAGGGCUGGGAGAGUAAUUAUAGGAAAUGCAGAAUUUAUAAAGUUCCAGCAUUAAAUCCUUAGAACACAGACACAUAAAUCUAACCUUAGAAUAUAUUUAAUCCACUUAACUAACUCCAUUAUGUGCUACAGUACUGUAGAGUAGCAAUGAUAAGACAAAGCUUUUUAGAUGAGAUGUAGGACAACCUGACCACUUUUGCCCAUUAAAAGUCAAAUUUAGAUUGUAAUAUCUGUGAUAGGAAAUGACUUUUUGUUUGUAAAGCAUCAACAGAAAACUUAUUGAAUGAUAAAUCCCAUGACGCUUUUUCCAAGCACAAAAGCAAAGGAUAUCAACCCCACUGUCCUGGCUUUAUUCCAGUUUGGAUAUUUUCUUCACAUUAGACUGCCUGUUGUCUCCCAAUUUAUGGUGUGGUCCUUACAUCUGGGCACUGAUGCAAGUCUGACUGUGAGCUUUAUUGAUCACAUCUGCCCUGCACAGCAAUCUAGACAGUACUAAAAUCCCAAUGUCUUGUCCCAGCCAGCACCAAGAUCAGAGUCAAACCUCAGUGGUUUCUCUAGCGGCUGUCUCUCUCCAAUUGUUCCAAAGCCAUGGUCAGCAGGAACACAAAGGAGAUUUUACCCUACCAUCUGAUCCAUUUCCACGUGUACUGAGGACUAAUCUGUGGGUGGUGCAUAAUCCUCCCUCUUCUCAGCCUUGUGAAGAGGGAGGCAGAAGGAGCUAAGAAUAUUGAGAGCUUCUGGGCCUGGAAGAGGAUCUUGAUUCACGCACCUGAGACCUUGGUCAAUUAUGAGAAGAAAGUGGAUUAGGGAGAGCUUCACCCACCUUGACCCCUAAAGGAACAGCCAGGAUGAGAUCAUCACUCUCACUAAUAACAAGAGCUUCCAGGGUUCUGCCCCUCACUUCAGAUGAUAAUGACAUUGCUGCCCUCCGUGGCAAGGAGGGAACAAUGGGAGCUAAAGCUGCAUUGAAGGGAGAUACUUCUCCUGCACUGACUCAGAGGCAUGCAGGAGAGUGUCACAGUGAUAUGAAGCCCGAUGCUUAGCACGUCUCAAGAAGCCUGAUCCAACUUGCACUGAAGGAUGAGGAUGCGGAUUGGACAAAACAAGGCAAUCCAGGGCAAAUAUUAAAAGUAAGAAAAUGGUCAGAAAAUGGAUUUUCCAUUCCG